GUCAGGAUGGCCGAGUGGUCUAAGGCGCCAGACUCAAGUUCUGGUCCUCAAUUGAUGGCGUGGGUUCUCAAACCCCACUUUUCGCC
rnacentral:tRNA from 1 species